GCAGAACCGGUGAAGAUUUGGGCACGGGACGAGGCGGCCGCGACCCUGCCGGAGUCCGGGGGGGACCUCCAGAAACCCGGGGGGUCCCUGACUCUCGUGUGCCGCACGUCUGGAUUCAGUUUUGGGAGUUACAACAUGAUGUGGAUCCGCCAGAGCCCCGGGAAGGGGCUGGAAUUCGUCGCACAGAUCAGCAGAGGUGGCAGCACCGGAUACGCGCCAUCGGUCAAGGGCCGGUUCACGAUCUCCAGGGACAACGGGCAGAGCUCAGUGACGCUGACCAUGACCAACCUCAAGGACAACGAUUCCGGCUCCUAUUUCUGUGCCAAGAACCCAACCUUCAACAUUGAACCCGAGUCCUUAGAUCUGGGCCCAAAUUCGAGCAUUGAUUCAAUCCAGUUCAAUCCAGUUCAAUCCACUUCAAUCCAGUUCAAUCCAGUUCAAUUCCUUUGA